rnacentral:rRNA from 1 species
UAGAUACCCCAUUAUUUUUAAUAUAAAAUUAAAACUUAAGUAAUAAUAGGUAUGUUCUUAAAACUUAAAAAAUUUGGCGGUGUUAUAAAAUGAUCAAUUUAGAGGAAUCUGUUACAUAAUUGAUAAUCCACAUUGAAUCUUACUUAUUUUAUGUUCUUGUAUAUCGCUGUCUAAUAAUGUAAAUACUUUUAGGUUAUUUUCGAAAUAUAUGUUUUUAUAAUAUUUCAAGUCAAGGUGCAGUUGUAAUUAAGUGUAAAAAUGGAUUACAAUAAAUUUUAUUUAUACGAAUUGUUAUAAGGAAUAAUAAUAUGAAGGUGGAUUUAAUUGUAAUUUUAUGAAGAUUAUUAAGAUGAUUAUAGCUCUGUAACAUGUACAUAUCGCCCGUCACUCUCAUUAAUAAGAUGAGAUAAGUCGUAACAAAGUAGACCUAUUGGAAAAUGGGCCUAGAUGAUAUAAUUAUGA